rnacentral:rRNA from 1 species
GACGAACGCUGGCGGCGUGCUUAACACAUGCAAGUCGAACGGAAAGGCCUCUUUCGGGGGGUACUCGAGUGGCGAACGGGUGAGUAACACGUGAGUAACCUGCCCUUGACUUUGGGAUAACUUCAGGAAACUGGGGCUAAUACCGGAUAGGAGCUCCUGCUGCAUGGUGGGGGUUGGAAAGUUUCGGCGGUUGGGGAUGGACUCGCGGCUUAUCAGCUUGUUGGUGGGGUAGUGGCUUACCAAGGCUUUGACGGGUAGCCGGCCUGAGAGGGUGACCGGCCACAUUGGGACUGAGAUACGGCCCAGACUCCUACGGGAGGCAGCAGUGGGGAAUAUUGCACAAUGGGUGGAAGCCUGAUGCAGCAACGCCGUGUGCGGGAUGACGGCCUUCGGGUUGUAAACCGCUUUCGCUCAUGACGAAGCUUUGUGUGACGGUAGUGGGUAAAGAGGAACCGGCUAACUACGUG